AUGCCGUUCGGGUUGACAAACGCCCCAGCAACGUUUCAAUGCCUGAUGAAUGCUAUCUUCGCCAAAUACACCCGUAAGUUUGUCAUCAUCUUUCUUGACGACAUACUAGUUUUCAGUGAGGCCCUGGAGGAACACAUCGAGCAUCUUCGUCUCGUCCUCAACCUGCUCCGCGAGCACCAGCUGUACGCCAAGAUGUCCAAGUGCUCGUUUGCCCAGGAUCACAUCGAUUACCUGGGCCAUGUCAUCUCCAAGCAGGGCGUAGCAACAGACACAGAGAAGACUGACGCCAUGGCACAGUGGCCUACUCCAACUAAUGCAACUGAACUUCGUGGCUUCCUCGGGCUCACCGGAUACUAUCGCAAAUUUGUGCCUCAUUAUGGGAUCAUCGCCAAGCCCCUCACGCAACAGCUCACCAUAAAGGGGUUCGCGUGGCCCGAGUCAGCGCAGCGCGCGUUCGACACGCUCAAGCAGGCGAUGGUGACCACGCCGGUGCUCGCUCUCCCUGACUUCGCCAAGCCCUUC
rnacentral:rRNA from 1 species